UGCAAAGGCGGUGUGGAAACUAUAAAUUAAAAAUGGAAGACCGCAAAAUCGACUGCAGGAGGAAUCAAAAACCACAACAGGGCAAAUCCGCAGAAUAGUUGCAGUGCUGGAGGAUAUCCGCUAGAAAUUCCAGUGGGAUGGAACAUGUCAAGUGGGACCUGGCGCCCAACAUGGACAUCCUGCCGGGUGUGUCCUCGCAAAGAAAGACUCCGUACACCACCACCACCAGCUACUUGGCAGCUUAAGCGGAGCUGGAGAACUCGCUGGCUUCUAUAGGGAGGAGGAAAAUAGGUCGCCCGCUAAGGAACAGUUGGAGAAGCCAUAGCCAACCACUGCCAGGAUACUGGGCGACUUCCCGCAACAUCAGCGGAUCAACCCCGUUCCCAAUCCGGCUCCCACUUCCUCAAGGUCCAAUAUGCCUUUGGGACUCGGAGCUGGACUGUGGAGGAGCGAGAAAGAUGGCGAACCAUUCGUGGGACGUUAAGGAAGCUUUAAAGUACGAAUUUACAUAAAUGAAAACAUUCGUUGAACAUUCCAUUUAUUUUUAUUUUAAUUUCUUUGUGCACCAGCAGACUAUUCCUCUUUAAAUUGCUCCAGUUGAUUUCUUUUCCGUUGGUCAAUAAACACAGGUUCUCGACAGUACGACCAUGGAACAUGCUUUGCGGGUGAACUUAGAAUACAUCGGUCACACUACAAAGAAUAAGAUUUUUCGACCAGUGAAACUCUUAGCCGAUCUGAGCUUAAGCUAAUGAGCGAAAUCAGUAUAACUUUCUAAUGAUGUUUUGGUCCUGUGCCAAAAACAAGUUUUUUUAUAUUGGCCCAAUUGAAGUUCAAAUGUAUACAGAAGCUCUUUUAAAAAAUACUGUAUAAAACUCAGGAAUACUGCAUCGAUUUGCGUGUGCGGUCCCAUUCUCCGCUGAAGUAAGUUGUAGCGACAUUCUUGCGACUCUUUCCUACACGUGUAUUUUUUAUAGCCUAGUACUCAGAUCGGCUAAGAGUCUCACUAGACGAAAAAUCUUAU